rnacentral:rRNA from 1 species
GACGAACGCUGGCGGCGUGCCUAAUACAUGCAAGUUGAGCGCUGAAGGUUGGUACUUGUACCAACUGGAUGAGCAGCGAACGGGUGAGUAACGCGUGGGUAAUCUGCCUUUUAGCGGGGGACAACAUUUGGAAACGAAUGCUAAUACCGCAUAAAAACUUUAAACACAAGUUUUAAGUUUGAAAGAUGCAAUUGCAUCACUCAAAGAUGAUCCCGCGUUGUAUUAGCUAGUUGGGGAGGUAAAGGCUCACCAAGGCGAUGAUACAUAGCCGACCUGAGAGGGUGAUCGACCACAUUGGGACUGGGACACGGCCCAAACUCCUAAGGGAAGGAGCAGUAGGGGAUCUUCGGCAAUGGACGAAAGUCUGACCGAGCAACGCCGCGGGAGUGGAGGAGGUUUUCGGAUCGUAAAAGUCUGUUGGUAGAGAAGAAAGUUGGUGAGAGUGGAAAGCUCAUCAAGUGACGGUAACUACACAGAAAGGGACGGCUAACUACGUG